GACGAACGCUGGCGGCGUGCUUAACACAUGCAAGUCGAGCGGUAAGGCCCUUUCGGGGGUACACGAGCGGCGAACGGGUGAGUAACACAUGGGUGACCUGCCCUCAGCUCUGGGAUAAGCCUGGGAAACCGGGUCUAAUACCGGAUAUGACUCCAUGACGCAUGUUGUGGGGUGGAAAGCCUUGUGCGGCUGAGGAUGGGCCCGCGGCCUAUCAGCUUGUUGGUGGGGUGAUGGCCUACCAAGGCGACGACGGGUAGCCGGCCUGAGAGGGCGACCGGCCACACUGGGACUGAGACACGGCCCAGACUCCUACGGGAGGCAGCAGUGGGGAAUCUUGCGCAAUGGGCGAAAGCCUGACGCAGCGACGCCGCGUGAGGGAUGACGGCCUCGG
rnacentral:rRNA from 1 species